GGAGUCGUAGCCCAGCGGAAGGAGCGUCCGGCUAUAGAGGAAGGACCCGGGUUCGAAUCCCGGCGGCUCCA
rnacentral:tRNA from 1 species